AAAGGGAGAAGGGAAGAGGGAGGCACUGCCGGCAGUGCAGGCAGGAACCUUGCCCCUGCCUGAUCAUUAACCCCGCUGCCGGCCGGGCCCCAGCUUGUCACUGGCACGUGAGCCGGGCAGGGGGGGCUGCCGGCCUCUUACAGCCACGCGGGCCGGUUUUCUAUACGUUCCUUCGCCUGUACGCAUAUACGCACCCUCGGAGCGCGCCUCUACGCUGACCGCGGACAUGAGACUCCGACUGCUCCUGUGCAUCGUCUUUUUGCUCCUGGCGAGCCUCCUCCCUGCCGACGGGCAGAGGCCAGCCAACGUGGCCCUGCGCAGGAAGCUCCACCGGCACGGCUGCUCCCACCGGCGCUGCGUGCCGCUCCACUCCAGGGUGCCCUUCCCCUGAGCCCCGGCGGAGCGUGGGCGAGGGCGAAGUCACCUCGCUCUGGCCGUCAGUAACAUGAAGCAGUUUCAUAAUGGGCUUUUCAGUGUUUUAAAGGAGCAACAAUUAAACUGAUAGAGAAGUUAGAAGUCCAGACCAACAGCAGCUGACCUGACAGAGCCACCGCAGUCUUCAACAGUCCUGUCUGUCACAUUCUGCAAGAGCUAGAACAAAGGCCCCCGGCUCACACCCUAGGAAUGGGGGUGGGGGUGGUGAUGGGAGGAUGUACAUGAAACUUACCCGGUUGAAACAUUCUGUAUAAAUUCUUUGGCUCUCAUAAGGACCAGUGAACGUUAAAGACCAAAUCAAACAUCAGGUACCUGAGAUGGAUUUCCAGCGGUCUCAAGAAGGGCCUGUCCAAGGGGACUCUUAAUGGUCUGUACUAUUCAAAGAAAUUAGACAUGCUGUUGACUACUCAAUUCAGGUUGUGUGUAGGGCAGUAUUUAGGGUGAAAACUCCAGCACAGAACUGUGAAAGUCCAUUUUUUUGUUUAUACUUUUAUAUAUUAAUAAUAUAUAUGUGCUUUAACACCUAACAUUACAUCUUUCUGGAAUUACUUUAAUAAUGUAGAAUGUAUUACUGUAAUAGUACCAAAGUCAGCAUCACACUAGUGGCCCUACUGGCUCCACGUAUAGUAAGCAUAGGAAGAGUUUACAAUAUAAGAAAGCAAAGAGAGUAUUAUCCCUCAUUCUACAGAUAGAGGAUUGAAGCACACAGAUAAGAGAUUAGCCAAGGGUCAUGCAAAACUGAUAACUCAGAUCUCUCAAGUCAGGCCUUAAGGUCAAGCCCAUCCUCCUGUCUAAUGAGCUGUUACAGCAAAGCCUAUCAUUUGUUUUCUUAAACUGGGCUGCCAAACCAGACAGCUAAAACAUACUUGAAAAUACAGUACUAUAGAACUAUUUGCUUAAUAGUAGUUUUCCUAAAAUACCCACUACAGUAUUAUAAAUGGAGCAUAAAAAUAGACCAUUGAAAAGGAACCUUUGUUUGGUCAACCCCAGUGUUGCGUAGUACUCUAUUCCUGUAAUUUAAAUGAAUGGGAUAUGUGGAACACAGCACUACAAUGAAUGACAACUUCAAACAGAAAACAGGCUGUUCUUUUUUAGCACUGGAGGUCAAGAAUACAUUGAGCUUUUAUUUACGUUUUGUUUUUAAAAAUGUUUCACAUCUUUCUAUAUCAGCAGAAAUUACAAGCCGUGGUUUAAAGCCAGUAUUAGAAUUUUGUCUUGCAACACAGAUUCUAAUAAGUGAAAGAACAGUAAUCAAGAAAACUGGAUAGCUGACACUUUCUAAUCAGUGUCUAUAUGUAACACCUCAUCUCUAAGAAUUUGAAACCUUAAUCGGAUUCAUGCUAGCAGAGCUUAACAGGAGUUUCAAAUUUCUCUGUAUAGGAAAAAAAAUAAAAUUUAACAUCACACCCUAUUCUUGAGUUUUGGAAAAUCAUCAUAAAAAGAUGGCCAAACCAACCAUGUUGUCUAUACCAACGAACACCUCUGCAGGUAAACCUUUGGAGUUUUGGAAAAAACCACACAUGUUUUUCCAAGAUUAGAGGCAUACUACCACUAAUUUUAUUUUUUAAUUAUUUAACUUCGGUUUCACGUGUAUCCAUGGCUAUCUCUGUUAGAAGUACAGGUAAAGAGUACAGGAAAGCAAGAAAGGUGAAGAGUAACUAUUUAACUGUUAUGUCUUAAAAAUGAGUAUAUGGAUUUAGUGUGGCACUGGAUAUUUUAUGUAAUCAUAAUUAUUCAAUUAACUGAUAAAAUCAUAAGAAAAAUAUAAUUUAUCUAUCAGAGCUAUAUAUACAUGUUCCUUUACAGAUGUAAAAAUAAAUAAAACAAGUACCAAAGUGUCCUACAAAGCCCAUUGUCAGUCUACAAAAUUUUGUAAAAGUGUCUGUUCUUUUUAGACAUGCUGAUACCAUAAAAUCUUCUUUGAAAAAAGCAUUGAUAUCUUUGAUAUCUUUGAUAGAUAUGUUUAUAAACUAGCUGGUUGAUUGUAUAUUUUGUAAAAAGAUAGUAUGCACU